UACAGAGGGGGCGAGCGUUGUUCGGAAUUACUGGGCGUAAAGGGCGCGUAGGCGGCCAACUAAGUCCGACGUGAAAUCCCUCGGCUCAACCGGGGAACUGCGUCUGAUACUGGAUGGCUUGAAUUCGGGAGAGGGAUGCGGAAUUCCAAGGUGUAGCGGUGAAAUGCGUAGAUAUCUGGAGGAGCACCGGUGGCGAAGGCGGCAUCCUGGACCGAGAUUGA
rnacentral:rRNA from 1 species